AGUGGCCUAAGGGGCCACAUGUGCACUAGGGGGAUUAGGUGGAGCCACCGGGAAUUAGUGCCUUAUGCAAACAGGGAACCCAGCCCCAUCAGCUUAGAUAUAUAGAAGCCCUUGUAUUCAACUGAAAAGGAGGGCAACCAGGAACCUACUUUCAGGAUUUCUCUUUUUGCUGAGAGCUUUCCUUUCACUUAAUAAAUUCUACUCCACUCACUCUUCAAGCCUCCGCAUGCCUACUUCUUCCUGGUUGUAAGACAAGAAGCCAGACCUAGCUGAGCUAAAGAGCAAGAAAUCCUGUGUCAUUUUGGGAGCUCGCACAGGAUGCCUGGAGGGGCUGUCAUGGCACCUCUUUUUAAAUGAUGUUAAGGGUGCUGCUGCAAACUGCAGAGAUAUUACUAUGUAGAAUGAGCAUUUGGCCAAGCCACCAGAUAUGCAAUUCAGGAUAAUGUGAUUUCCAUCUGUUCUUAGAGGCAUCCCUCAGCUCCACCCAAUGGCCACAGGUAUGCACUCCCUGCUCCAACCUCCCCUCCCAGCUGGGGUACAUGGCUGUGUCUGCCACACACAUAUGCUGCGUUCAGUGACCACGCAGGACAGGAAUAAGCUGUGGCUGCUUCCCGGGUACCAAGGCAAUCUCGGGGGCCAAGGCCCUCAUGCAGCCUGUUGGCCAGCAUUUCCCACUCUCCGACCCAUCCUGCCAUGAACCUGUGGAGCCUUUCCUCCUCUGGUUGAGCCAAGAGGGUACAAAGAUUAAGAGUUUCUCUCCCUGGUGGAGAAACACAUUUGCAUAGAGCUAGAGGUUUUUCCCCCAGGCAUUGUCCCCACCCUGCACUUAAACUGUUUAUUUUUCUUUUUCCCACAGUGCCAGGAGUUAACACAGCCCUGCGGAUAUGGGCAGCUUUUCUAUGCAAGAGGUUUUUUUGUUUCCUUUGAGAGGCAUUUUACUAGGCCAGGACCCCAAUUCACGGGACUCCCUUUCCUCUCCCUUGUUUGAGGGGGACCCAGCUCCACAGCUUUACCUUAGCAUGACUGAUUCCUGACAAUUAGGCCCCCUCCCAUUUCAUAGAUAGAGGUCAUGCUAGUAUCUAUGACACAGACAAGGUAUAGGGAACUCAAAAGUUACCAACAGCAGGAAGGAGUCUGCGUGUAGGUAAAUGUGGAUAAUUCCCACCCAUUAGGCCUCCCUGUUAACAUGGGUGAAAAGUUGCAUUGGCAUUCAUGGGUGGCACCCUGCCGAGGUUGCCAGGACUCGGGGAUAUAAGGACAGAAGAAAGAAUGGGACACCAUUAUUUCUCUCCCUCACGUACCCCAGGUAUUUGCUAGGAAGAGAAAGGACCUAGGGAUGCCUUUUUCCCCUCUUUCUAGAUGGGUAGCCAUUCAUCUUCAGUCUGUACUUCUCUCAAAUGCCUCCUGAAUCACUGGGAUUCCUUUGGGGAAAAAAAGCCUUCUUUUUCCUCGAACUCUGUCUUCUCUUCGUGGAUGGGUAAUUGUGUCCUGUACUACAGGACACUUCCCUUAGAUGCAUCCUCAAAUGGGGAAAAGUUAAGAUCCCCAAACUUUAAACUGCUUAGCUUAAAUGAGCUCAGGGGAAGGGAACCCAGAAGCCUGACAUGC
rnacentral:lncRNA from 1 species